GAUGAACGCUGGCGGCGUGCCUAAUACAUGCAAGUCGAGCGAACAGACGAGGAGCUUGCUCCUCUGACGUUAGCGGCGGACGUGUGAGUAACACGUGGAUAACCUACCUAUAAGACUGGGAUAACUUCGGGAAACCGGAGCUAAUACCGGAUAAUAUAUUGAACCGCAUGGUUCAAUAGUGAAAGACGGUUUUGCUGUCACUUAUAGAUGGAUCCGCGCCGCAUUAGCUAGUUGGUAAGGUAACGGCUUACCAAGGCAACGAUGCGUAGCCGACCUGAGAUGGUGAUCGGCCACCCUGGAACUGAGACACGGUCCAGACUCCUACGAGAGGCAGCAGUAGGGAAUCUUCCGCAAUGGGCGAAAGCCUGACGGAGCAACGCCGAGUGAGUGAUGAAGGUCUUCGGAUCGUAAAACUCUGUUAUUAGGGAAGAACAAAUGUGUAAGUAACUAUGCACGUCUUGACGGUACCUAAUCAGAAAGCCACGGCUAACUACGUG
rnacentral:rRNA from 1 species